AUGACGCACUCCUCCCUCUCUCAUCCUUUUAUUCCUCUGGCCUGUUCCUCUCUCCCUUCAGUUAAAUAAUUUUUCCUCUCUCUCUCUCUCUCACUCUCUGCGUCUCCUCUCCUUGACCUUGAAGUGGUUUCCUCCUCAUUCCUGCGGUCAGCAUUUUACUCUCCUGUGCUCCUUGGUGUCUUUUUGUGAGGAGGUUGAAGUGCAAAUCCCACAAUUCUUCACUCCAGGGUUGGGGGUUGCAGAGGCAGACUUCAUCAUGAUGGAACCGUCCUUCAGGAAUUACUUCCUCCUGCUCCAGAACCUGAGUCAGCAGCGGAUCACCUUUGCAGAGAGACAGGUGUUAAUGGACUCUGUUCAUUUCAGACCCACACACUCACACAAUCACACACACACUCACACAAACAAACACCCACUCACACCCACACACUGAGCACCACUCUACUAAGUGUACAGUAGAGGCUCUGAUCAAUCACAGUGACCACCUGGACACUCCUGCAGGACAAAGAGCAGCAGCACAUCCAUCAGAGAGAAGUGGAUCAGACUGAACCAUUAGAGAACGGAUCCUUUAUCAAACAGUUCACUCUCUGCUGUAGCACCAACAAGGACACCUGACCUGGACAUGUUUUCCCCUUAUAGGUCCACCCUUUUUUUGAACAUCCUCUUGUGUGGCAAACGUUAACCAGCAGCAGGACGAGGUGCUGCUUGUAGGGGGCACUGUCAUCGUCUGUCUCGAUCUCUAUGUCGGUGUUUCUGUGACUGAGGUGGCAGGGUUUACAUCAUGUGACCGGUGUGAUCUCUGUGCAGUAAUGAAACUGCUUCAUCCUCUUCUCUGCUCCCAGCAUGCUCGUCCCCUCUCAGUCAAGAUUCAAGGAUUCAAGUUUUUUUAUUGUCAUACUAAUACAAGCUGUUGCAUGAUAUGGAACGAAAUUUCAAUCCUCUGUGCGACCUUCACCACCCUCUGCAGAGUCUUCUUCUCUGCAGCAGAGCAGCUGCCAUGCCAUGCAGGAGCACAGGACGCUCUCCACCACACAUCUGUAGAAGGAGUUCAGAGCUGAGCUCCCAAGUCCUUUGUGCCUCAGCUUCCUAAGAAAGUAGAGGCGCUGGUGGGCCUUCUUUACCAGUCACUAAUAUUAUGAAUACGUCUGAUCACACGCAGCAUUGGAUAUCUUUUAAACAUUACACAGAGACUUUCAGGGCAAAGUCUGAACAUUGGUGCUUUUUGUUGUCAUUGUUAACAGAGGCAGAAAGUAACAGCAGCACCUGUAUCAGGUCCUCUCUCCUCCCAUUCCAUCCUUUAACUCUGUCUCACACUGUUGUGUUUGUGUUUGCUCUCUGUCUGUUUUCUUCACUUUGUUAGAUGUCUCUUUCUCUCAGCUCCUAGUGUGUUUUAUCAUCCCUCUCUAGUUUCUGUUUUCCUCUGCUCACAUGUUAACCACCAAUCAAAAGUUUGUUCUCUGCUGAUAAACUGAGAUUAAAAAUAUUCU